CAACCAGACUCCUACGGGAGGCAGCAGUGGGGGAUAUUGCACAAUGGGGGGAACCCUGAUGCAGCGACGCCGCGUGGGUGAAGAAGCGCCUCGGCGCGUAAAGCCCUGUCAGCAGGGAAGAAAAUGACGGUACCUGACUAAGAAGCCCCGGCUAACUACGUGCCAGCAGCCGCGGUAAUACGUAGGGGGCAAGCGUUAUCCGGAAUUACUGGGUGUAAAGGGAGCGCAGACGGCAGUGCAAGUCUGGAGUGAAAGCCCGUGGCUUAACCACGGGACUGCUCUUGGAACUGCGCGGCUGGAGUGCAGGAGGGGCAGGCGGAAUUCCUGGUGUAGCGGUGAAAUGCGUAGAUAUCAGGAGGAACACCGGUGGCGAAGGCGGCCUGCUGGACUGUGACUGACGUUGAGGCCCGAAAGCGUGGGGAGCAAACAGGAUUAGAUACCCCAGUA
rnacentral:rRNA from 1 species